CUUUUCCAUUCGUCUGAGGUCAUUCAGAGUUUUGCCCGUGUAGCCCAGAAGUAUGGAAAGUC
rnacentral:pre_miRNA from 1 species